UACAGAUGAAGCUUUGCUGGCCUGCCAGCCACUCACCUCUUGCUGUGCAGCCAGUUCCUAACAGAUCAUGCGCUGGUACCUGAAUGAGUGUUUAGAAUCAUCAACGUCUUUAAAGUGGUUAGCAUAUCCAGAACAAACAGUGUGUCCAGCACUGGCAUGUGCAUUGGCAUACUCUUCAAUAGAAUCCAUCCUCAUGAACGUAUACCAUAUGAUGUCAUCAGUAAAUUAAUGUGAAAAGGAGAAUUGGAUUUUCAAACCAUAAUUCUCUGGACUAAAGACACUGGGUGCCAGCGAAAGGAAAGGAGACACCUGGAAAGAAGAAGUUCACGUCGGUUUCUUUACAGAACAACUGGAGUUCUGCAAAGUCAAUGUUGGAGUUAAUUACUCCUGUGAAGUGCUAGAUAGUUGGAGUAGCAUUUACCAAGAAAGAGAAAGAAGACGGGGCAUAUGACUUGAGAAGGUGGGAGUGAGGAAAAGAUAAGGUAUUUAUUCCAGACUCCUUAUUUGGAGUUCUUUGUUUGAUUCUUUUCUUUUUGUUGCUGUUGUUAUUGUCUUACUUUAUGUUAUGUGUCAGACCAGAGUUUCACAAACAUCCCCAAAUAAUUACAUGGGUCAUAAAAAUAUAUCCAGAUACUUCUCAUUAUUUUCCAUCAAAAUCCUGGUUCAAUAAUUUGAAAUAAGACCUGGAGAACCAACAAUUCUCACGAGUAUGCUAAGUGAUUGUUACCAAAAUGACAAUUGUGAAAUAUUUAGAAAACCAGGGAGGAGGUAGGUAAUCAACAUUUAAUAAUUGGUUCUUGCUGUAAGGGUAAAGGAUUUUAUUGAAAUGACUAUUUAAAUUCAAGUUUUAUGAAAAAAAUAGAAUGGAGCACUUUAGUGCUUUCUAAUAAGCAUCUGUAAAGUAUGUUUUGCUAAACUGGCAAAAUUAUUUUUUCAUUAGAGGUUAGCAUUAUGGCCACAAAUGACUUCUGAAAUAGCUUUUUGAAAAUAUUCAGAUCAUAAAUUAUAAAAAUUAUCUUGGGGGUUUAUAAAAUUCCAGAAAUUCACUAAGAAAAAUAUACAUAAAAACACCAGUAUCCAAAAAAAUCAAAAUAACACUUACAAAUAGACAAGAAAAUAUAAAGACAAUCUAGCCGAGUAAAAGAAAGCAGGACAGGUAAAUGGAUACAUUUUAGAAAAGAGAAAUGUCAAAUGACCAGUGAAAAAUGGCUAGAUGCUUGAGCUCAUUAGUAAUCCAGGGAUAUAAAUCAAAACCACAUUAUGUUCCAACUUUUGUUCAUUAGCUUGGCAACUAUUAAAUUAAUAAUACCGAGUGUAGUCAAAGGUGUAAGGAAUGGUAAUUUGGUUCCAUCAAUCACAGGACUAUCUAAUGAUAUUUAGUAAAAUUAGAGUGACUAAAACUUUUGUUGUUCCAGUGGAAACUUUUUUUAGAAUAAAGAGUAGUAACAUAUACAAAAUUAUUUACUAUUUAUUACAUUUUUCCUUACAGUCAAUUUUUUUAUUGUAUUGAUGGAUCUAUGAAAUAGUUAUCUUCCAACUGUUUUUGAAAAUGAAAUCCCUUCAAAAAUUGAAAACCACAAAUACAUAUCUUGAAGCAAAAUAGAAAAAUAACUUAUUUACAUUUAUUAUUUAAAUAUUAAAAACAGUAGGCAGAAUAAUUAUACUAGAACAUAUUUAUAUGAAUUAAUCUUUUUCUUAAAAUAAUUAUCUGUAGUUCUUUUCUGGAAAAUGCAUUUGUUUUAGUAUUAUGUUGAUUUUUAAAUAAAGUUACUUGUCAUCUUUUGCAAAGUUGCUGCUUCUUGUCAUCAAUAAAAGUUAUCAACAAUGUUUAGCUUUUCAAGUGAACUUUAAAAAAAAUUUAUCAUACUGUUCAAUUUUUUUUCUGGCACAAUAAUAUUUCCACAGCUUUAUUUUGGUCCCAAUGAUUGAUUAAAAAUUCAAACCGCUUUUUAAUCCAACUUUCUGUUUGAAACAUCUAAAUGGCAUUGUUCAACUCUUGGAAUUUCUUCUGUAGCUUAUGGAGCUUACAUACUAACAAUUGCUGAUGCAUAUUUCUUAAGUGCAG
rnacentral:lncRNA from 1 species